UUCCAUUCUAAAAAAUAUAUCAACAGAACCAGUUCCAAUUUACCUACAAUUAGUAAGAACAGAGAACACAUUUCUAGCAAAAUAAGGUCCAUGAAUUCCGGAAUCGAAUAAAAAGUACUUAGAAUAAGAAAAAAAAUACAAAAAAACUGAAACAGAGCCUAAAAGCUAGAACAGUACUCAUCAGAGCCUACAAGAGGGGUAUUGAUGACUAACAGAAAUAAAUUACUUAGAUCUCUGUCUCAUCUUUCGACGCUUCCUCUUCAACCUCCUCAUUCUUUUCUUCUUCCACUACAAAAACAUAUCCAAUUUCAAAUAAUCAAUUUCGUUAUCCAUUUAUGGAAAAUGGUAAAUUCAAUAAAUGAGCUAAAAUUAAUACAAAAAUAAUAAAUUUAUGUAACAGAGAUAGAGGAGUUACCUUGGCCCUCAUGGUGAUGAGUUUGGAAUUCUUCUGCCUCUCUUUUCUUCCAAAACCGUUGCAAAACUGUGGAGGAAAUGAGACGGAAGAAAAUGAGGCGAGGGAUUUGCCGUUUAUCUCUAAAUUCAGCAUACCAAAAAUUUCUCUUUUUGUGUUACCUAUAGUUGCACAAAUAUCAAUACUCUAACUUAGAAUUAAAUGCUCAAACAUCACAAUUUUAUAAAAUUAUGAAUAGUACAAUCAACAUGUUGAUUCAACUAAAAAUCUU
rnacentral:lncRNA from 1 species